UCCCAGACUCCUACGGGAGGCAGCAGUCGGGAAUAUUGCAUAAUGGAGGAAACUCUGAUGCAGUGACACCGCGUAUAGGAAGAAGGUUUUCGGAUUGUAAACUAUUUUAGACAGGGAAGAAAAAAGACAGUACCUGUAGAAUAAGCUCCGGCUAACUACGUGCCAGCAGCCGCGGUAAUACGUAGGGAGCAAGCGUUAUCCGGAAUUAUUGGGUGUAAAGGGUGCGUAGACGGGACAGCAAGUUAGUUGUGAAAGGCCUCGGCUUAACUGAGGAACUGCAACUAAAACUAUUGUUCUUGAGUGCAGGAGAGGAAAGCGGAAUUCCUAGUGUAGCGGUGAAAUGCGUAGAUAUUAGGAGGAACACCAGUGGCGAAGGCGGCCUGCUGGACUGCAACUGACGUUGAGGCUCGAAGGCGUGGGGAGCAAACAGGAUUAGAUACCCCCGUAAAU
rnacentral:rRNA from 1 species